rnacentral:rRNA from 1 species
UACGUAGGGUGCAAGCGUUAUCCGGAAUUAUUGGGCGUAAAGGGCGCGUAGGCGGACAGUUAAGUCAGAGGUGAAAUCCCAGGGCUCAACCCUGGAAUUGCCUUUGAUACUGGCUGUCUUGAGUAUGGGAGAGGUAAGCGGAACUCCGAGUGUAGAGGUGAAAUUCGUAGAUAUUCGGAAGAACACCAGUGGCGAAGGCGGCUUACUGGCCCAUUACUGACGCUGAGGCGCGAAAGCGUGGGGAGCAAACAGG